UAUGGUACGAUCUAUAACCACGAUCAUACUAGCUAUAGUGGCAUUAACAGAUAUCUAUAGUCACGAUAUUACUUAGCCAUGAGUGACACCUACAGAUAGUGCGACACCACUUUCGUCAGAAGGUAUGUUAUCAUCCACAGGGAGUGGUUCUCUUGUAUCUUUCAAGACCAAUAGGGGGUGGGGAUACUGAUACCCCAAAGGGCAAGGAGAACAGAUUCCU
rnacentral:lncRNA from 1 species